UACGAACCGUGCGAACGUUGUUCGGAUUUAUUGGGCUUAAAGGGCGCGUAGGCGGUCGACCAAGUCUGGGGUGAAAUCUUUCGGCUCAACCGGAAGAGUGCCCCCGAUACUGGUCGGCUAGAGGGAGAUAGGGGCAUGUGGAACUUCCGGUGGAGCGGUGAAAUGCGUAGAUAUCGGAAGGAACACCAGUGGCGAAAGCGGCGUGCUGGAUCUCUUCUGACGCUGAGGCGCGAAAGCCAGGGGAGCAAGCGGG
rnacentral:rRNA from 1 species